CCUACGGGAGGCAGCAGUAGGGAAUCUUCCGCAAUGGGCGAAAGCCUGACGGAGCAACGCCGCGUGAGUGAAGAAGGAUUUCGGUUCGUAAAGCUCUGUUGUUAGGGAAGAAUGAUUGUGUAGUAACUAUACACAGUAGAGACGGUACCUAACCAGAAAGCCACGGCUAACUACGUGCCAGCAGCCGCGGUAAUACGUAGGUGGCAAGCGUUGUCCGGAAUUAUUGGGCGUAAAGCGCGCGCAGGUGGUUUAAUAAGUCUGAUGUGAAAGCCCACGGCUCAACCGUGGAGGGUCAUUGGAAACUGUUAAACUUGAGUGCAGGAGAGAAAAGUGGAAUUCCUAGUGUAGCGGUGAAAUGCGUAGAGAUUAGGAGGAACACCAGUGGCGAAGGCGGCUUUUUGGCCUGUAACUGACACUGAGGCGCGAAAGCGUGGGGAGCAAACAGGAUUAGAUACCCUGGUAGUCCACGCCGUAAACGAUGAGUGCUAAGUGUUGGUCUCAUAAGAGAUCAGUGCUGCAGCUAACGCAUUAAGCACUCCGCCUGGGGAGUACGACCGCAAGGUUGAAACUCAAAGGAAUUGACGG
rnacentral:rRNA from 1 species